GGUAGCUUGCUACCAGGCGUCGAGCGGCGGACGGGUGAGUAAUGCUUAGGAAUCUGCCCAGUAGUGGGGGAUAGCCCGGGGAAACCCGGAUUAAUACCGCAUACGCCCUUUUGGGGAAAGCAGGGGAUCUUCGGACCUUGCGCUAUUGGAUGAGCCUAAGUCGGAUUAGCUAGUUGGUGGGGUAAAGGCUCACCAAGGCGACGAUCCGUAGCUGGUCUGAGAGGAUGAUCAGCCACAUCGGGACUGAGACACGGCCCGAACUCCUACGGGAGGCAGCAGUGGGGAAUAUUGGACAAUGGGGGCAACCCUGAUCCAGCCAUGCCGCGUGUGUGAAGAAGGCUUUCGGGUUGUAAAGCACUUUCAGUGAGGAGGAAGGCCUUAAGAUUAAUACUCUUAAGGAUUGACGUCACUCACAGAAGAAGCACCGGCUAACUCCGUGCCAGCAGCCGCGGUAAUACGGAGGGUGCAAGCGUUAAUCGGAAUUACUGGGCGUAAAGCGCGCGUAGGUGGUUGAGUAAGCGAGAUGUGAAAGCCCCGGGCUUAACCUGGGAACGGCAUUUCGAACUGCUCGACUAGAGUGUGGUAGAGGGUAGUGGAAUUUCCUGUGUAGCGGUGAAAUGCGUAGAUAUAGGAAGGAACACCAGUGGCGAAGGCGGCUACCUGGACCAACACUGACACUGAGGU
rnacentral:rRNA from 1 species